UACGUAGGGGGCUAGCGUUGCUCGGAAUCACUGGGCGUAAAGGGUGCGUAGGCGGGUCUUUGAGUCAGGGGUGAAAUCCUGGAGCUCAACUCCAGAACUGCCUUUGAUACUGAAGAUCUUGAGUUCGGGAGAGGUGAGUGGAACUGCGAGUGUAGAGGUGAAAUUCGUAGAUAUUAGGAAGAACACCAGUGGCGAAGGCGGCUCACUGGCCCGGUACUGACGCUGAGGCGCGAAAGCGUGGGGAGCAAACAGG
rnacentral:rRNA from 1 species